UCCUACGGGAGGCUGCAGUGGGGAAUUUUGGGCAAUGGGCGCAAGCCUGACCCAGCAACGCCGCGUGAGGGAGGAAAUCCUUCGGGAUGUAAACCUCGCAAGCAGGGGAAGAGUGCUUUCGACCUAAUACGUCGAAAGAGGGACGGUACCCUGCGUAAGCCACGGCUAACUACGUGCCAGCAGCCGCGGUAAUACGUAGGUGGCAAGCGUUGUUCGGAAUUACUGGGCGUAAAGGGCGCGUAGGCGGCUUGUUCAGUCGGCUGGGAAAGCCCGGGGCUCAACCCCGGAGGGUCGGGCGAUACUGGCGAGCGGGAGUACGGAAGAGGUAGCUGGAAUUCCCGGUGGAGCGGUGAAAUGCGUAGAUAUCGGGAGGAACACCAGAGGCGAAGGCGGGCUACUGGGCCGAUACUGACGCUGAUGCGCGAAAGCCAGGGGAGCAAACGGGAUUAGAUACCCUAGUAGUCC
rnacentral:rRNA from 1 species